GUAGGUGGCAAGCGUUGUCCGGAAUUAUUGGGCGUAAAGCGCGCGCAGGCGGUCCUUUAAGUCUGAUGUGAAAGCCCACGGGCUCAACCGUGGAGGGUCAUUGGAAACUGGGGACUUGAGUACAGAAGAGGAAAGCGGAAUUCCAAGUGUAGCGGUGAAAUGCGUAGAGAUUUGGAGGAACACCAGUGGCGAAGGCGGCUUUCUGGUCUGUAACUGACGCUGAGGCGCGAAAGCGUGGGGAGCAAACAGGAUUAGAUACCCUGGUAGUCCACGCCGUAAACGAUGAGUGCUAAGUGUUAGGGGGUUUCCGCCCCUUAGUGCUGCAGCUAACGCAUUAAGCACUCCGCCUGGGGAGUACGGCCGCAAAGGCUGA
rnacentral:rRNA from 1 species